AUGCACGCUGGCGGCGUGCCUAAUACAUGCCAGUCGAGCGAACAGACGAGGAGCUUGCUCCUCUGACGUUAGCGGCGGACGGGUGAGUAACACGUGGAUAACCUACCUAUAAGACUGGGAUAACUUCGGGAAACCGGAGCUAAUACCGGAUAAUAUAUUGAACCGCAUGGUUCAAUAGUGAAAGACGGUUUUGCUGUCACUUAUAGAUGGAUCCGCGCCGCAUUAGCUAGUUGGUAAGGUAACGGCUUACCAAGGCAACGAUGCGUAGCCGACCUGAGAGGGUGAUCGGCCACCCUGGAACUGAGACACGGUCCAGACUCCUACGGGAGGCAGCAGUAGGGAAUCUUCCGCAAUGGGCGAAAGCCUGACGGAGCAACGCCGCGUGAGUGAUGAAGGUCUUCGGAUCGUAAAACUCUGUUAUUAGGGAAGAACAAAUGUGUAAGUAACUAUGCACGUCUUGACGGUACCUAAUCAGAAAGCCACGGCUAACUACGUG
rnacentral:rRNA from 1 species